GAAUCAGUGCGCUGGUCGUGCCUCUGGUAUGCACUGGUGCUACUGAUUUCUCCCUUCUGAAGAACUAUCAUGCCAUUCAUUUGGUGUGGUAGGGAAUCAGGACUGUUACUUUGAAAAAAUUAGAGUGUUUAAAGCAGGCUCACGCUUGAAUACAUUAGCAUGGAAUAAUGAAAUAGGACGUUGAUCUUAUUUUGUUGGUUUCUAGGAUUGACGUAAUGAUUAAUAGGGAUAGUUGGGGGCAUUAGUAUUCAAUUGUCAGAGGUGAAAUUCUUGGAUUUAUUGAAGACUAACUACUGCGAAAGCAUUUGCCAAGGAUGUUUUCAUUAAUCAAGAACGAAAGUUAGGGGAUCGAAGACGAUCAGAUACCGUCGUAGUCUUAACCAUAAACUAUGCCGACUAGGGAUCGGAUGAUGUUAAUUUUUUAAUGACUCAUUCGGCGCCUUACGGGAAACCAAAGUGUUUGGGUUCCGGGGGGAGUAUGGUCGCAAGGCUGAAACUUAAAGGAAUUGACGGAAGGGCACCACCAGGGGUGGAGCCUGCGGCUUAAUUUGACUCAACACGGGAAAACUCACCAGGUCCAGACAUAGUUAGGAUUGACAGAUUGAGAGC
rnacentral:rRNA from 1 species